UUGUAGGCACCAUUUUUUGAUAACCUUCAGUGGAGACAACAGCGAGAGAAAGAACUUCAACAAACUGAAGCUUCUUGGAAACUACAAGUGGAAGAACUUGAAAAACAUAAUCAAGAGCUGUCAAAACUAGUGAAAACAAAGUUCGCUACAGAGUUGGCAGACGUUGAAGAGAAGUACAU